rnacentral:ncRNA from 1 species
AAAAUAACGGGGAAAGAAGACCCUGAUAAGCUUGACUCUAAUCCAACUUUGUGAAAUGACUUGAGAGGUAUAGGAUAAGUGGGAGCCCUUGGGCAGAAAUGAAAUACUACUACUUUUAAUGUUAUUUUACUUACUUAUUCCGUUAGUCGAAGGUGGGGGGCAUCACCCUUCCUUUUGGACCCAAGGCUUGCCUCGGUGGGCCGAUUUGGGUGGAAGACAUUGUCAGGUGGGGAGUUUGGCUAGGGCGGCACAUUUGUUAAAAGACAACACAAGUGUCAUAAGAUGAGCUCAACAAGAACAGAAAUCUCAUGUGGAACAAAAGAGUAAAAGCUUGUUUGAUUCCGAUUUCUAGUAUGAAUACAAACAAUGAAAGUGUGGCCUAUUGGUCAUUUAGACCUUUAGAAUUUGAAGCUAGAGGUGUUAGAAAAGUUACCACAAGGAUAAUUGGCUUGUGGCAGCCAAGCAUUUAUAGCGACAUUGCUUUUUUAUCCUUCAAUGUCAGUUCUUCCUAUCAUUGCGAAGUAGAUUCACCAAGUGUUGGAUUGUUCACCCACCAAUAGGGAAUGUGAGAUAGGUUUAGAUUGUUGUGAGAUAGGUUAAUGUUACCCUAAUGAUGAUAGUGUUAUGAUAGUAAUUCAACCUAGUAUGAGAUAAACCGUUGAUUCACACAAUUGGUCAUCGUGCUUGGUUGAAAAGCCAAUGGCGUGAAGCUAUCGUGGGUCAAAUUAUGAUUGAAUGCUUCUAAGUCAGAAUCUUGGCUAAACAUGCAAUGUGUGCACUUUCCGCCUGAUUCGUAACCCAUAGUAGGGGCCUCUAGGCCCCCAAAGGCACGUUCCAUUGGUUAAGCCCUUGUGACGGACGAGCUACAUGGGCCACCGUGAAGCGCAAUUCCUAUCGGACGAUGGGUAGAAUCCUUUGCAGACAACUUAAAUAUGCGAUGGGGUAUUGUAAGUAUCAGAGUGACCUUGCUGCCAUGAUCCAUUGAAAUGAAUUCCUUUAUCACAUCGAUUA